rnacentral:rRNA from 1 species
CAAUAGCGUAUAUUAAAGUUGUUGCAGUUAAAAAGCUCGUAGUUGAAUUUUUGCUUGCCGCCGAUGUCGGAACUUCCGUACGUUCGGCGGCGUGCAUCCUUGGGUGGAACCUGUGUGGCAUUAGGUUGUCGUGCAGGGGAUGCUCAUCGUUUACUGUGAAAAAAUUAGAGUGUUCAAAGCAGGCUUACGCCGUUGAAUAUAUUAGCAUGGAAUAAUAAGAUAGGACCUUGGUACUAUUUUGUUGGUUUGCGCACCGAGGUAAUGAUUAACAGGGACAGUUGGGGGUAUUCGUAUUCCAUUGUCAGAGGUGAAAUUCUUGGAUUUCUGGAAGACGAACUACUGCGAGAGCAUUUACCAAGGAUGUUUUCAUUAA